AGACACCUAAAUGCCACUUCAGAAGCGCUUCUGUGCCAUCUUUGCAAUGUAAAUUUGACACUAUAAUUUUAAUUUAUUUUGGUAAU